CAUUUUGCUGUUAUGUGGAGCAGAUGCAGGCCAUAUCCUGCUAAUCUGCACAGCUAUGAGAGAUGGGGUUGGAGCGAUCUUAACUCUUCGGCACUUUCCCAAAGGCCUACAGACCUCGCUCAGGCAUCUGCUGUUCUGCUUGAUCUGUACCAGUCUGUUUCCAUCUCUGCCGGACUCUUCCCACUGUUGCCAAGCAUGGGGCACCUUUGCAGAGGCCAGGAGAGGAGUGAGCUCGGCUCACCAGGGGUGCAAGUAAGGAGCGGAGACCUCUGUCAUCUACUGCUAGCACUCUCUGAAGAAUAAACUGCCAUGAACGUGACUCGAGUCUAUGCUGUGCCCAUGCAACCGUUCCCAUAGCUUCAAACAAGCAGUCCUAUCUAUCAGAAUUUGUGGAUGGGGAGGACAGGUCAGACGUGACAGCCCCAGCUCUACCACCGCUCGGUGCUACCAACCUGCUGGUUGUUCUGUGCUGGGAAAUUUCAAAGGUCUGCUCAACAUGAGGCAUGUAAAUCGAGUUUUCCAACAAAUUCUUCUGCCACAGAACUGCAGGUUAAGUCCCGUGCUGCACCAUCAUCCAACCUGUUGCAAGUCUGGAGCUGGUUGUGGUUCACGUCCCAGGUGUGGAAGCCAUCCUUGCAAGGCAGUGCCAGGCUCAGUGUGCCCGUCUCUCUAAGCCUGGGGGAUCAGCCUGGCUCAGCUGCUGGCAGUGUGAGCAGAAGGACUUUUCCUUCUCCUGUGUACCCUAUUAUAUGAAGUAGUUUCUCUGGAGAAAUGAAUUGAAACUAGAUUUCCUCAAGCCCAUGUCCCAGAACGGUCAGCUGCCUGGUGGCCUGUAUAUUGUGGUCUUAAAAAACAGCAAGAACGACAACAAAAAGCAACAACGUAGGCUGAAUUUCAAGAGAAUUUUCACUGCUACUUUGCUGAGAAAGAACUGUCUUAUGUAGGAAGUGGUCCUACAACAUUUUUUUGCACGUUCUCUCAAACAACUGUGGACUCAAUUGGCCAAUUUCGAUCAAGAUUUACGCUGCAGUAUUGCUCAGGAGCCAUUUGGUAGCUUGUGCUUGGGUUGUUGCAUUGUAAUGGCAGAUGUCUAAUGUACUUUAAAGAGGACCAAAAAACAUAUCUACCUUGGGGUGGCUAAGUUAGCCAGAACUGACAAUCAAAUGUUAAAUAAUUAAAUUGUUUUAGCUAUUAAUUGUAAGUGAAUGUUGUUUUUAAUUGCACUUUAAUAAUGCCAUGCCCUUUAUAGCCAAAAUUAAUGUUUUCUGUCUCUCUGUUUUUGAAGUACAUGUCAGUUUAAUUAAACUAUUAAUGGUAGACAGAUUUUUAAGCACUUUAUAUUCUUCAUUAAAUUGUAUCUGUUCAACAAGCAUAAACAGGAAAAUAGACUCAGUUAGAAGCAGAUUCACGUUCUGCCUGAUAAAUCAUUCAUCAUCAGAUAAGAUGAUGAGGCAUGCUUGU